rnacentral:lncRNA from 1 species
AUUGUCUCCACAGUUUGUGGGAAGCCGAAGAUGGUUGGGAAAGUGUUCGGUGGCCAGGACACAUUGGCUGGCCAGUGGCCAUGGCAGGCCAGCCUGCUGUACCGGGGCGUGCAUCUCUGUGGAGCUGUCCUCAUUGACACCCACUGGCUGGCUUCCACAGCCCACUCAAAUCCCAGGCCCCAGAGGACUAUGAGGUUCUGUUGGGGAAUAAUCAGCUGUACCAGGAAACGAAGCACACUCAGAAGAUUUCUGUGAAUCAUAUCGUCAGUCAUCCAGACUUUGAGAAGUUUCAUUCUUUUGGAAGUGACAUUGCAAUGCUGCAGCUGCAUCUGCCCAUAAACUUCACAUCCUAUGUUGUACCUGCCUGUCUCCCAUCCAAAGACACACAGCUCUCCAACCACACAUCCUGUUGGAUAACUGGUUGGGGAAUGCUUUCUGAAGACAGGUGACUCUGGGGGCCCUCUCAUCUGCUACCACAACAGUACAUGGGUCCUGGUAGGACUGGCCAGCUGGGGCCUGGAUUGCCGGCAUCCCAUUUACCCCAGCGUCUUCACCAGGGUCGCCUACUUCACUGACUGGAUCAGCCAAGUCAAGAGACUCACUCCACUUCCAGAACCUGUAUCUGUGUCUCUUCACACAGAACUUCAACCCACACCUCUGAAGGCUGCUGGCUCCCCACAACCCUGCAACAUCCUUAUGGCUGCACAAAUCUGGUUCCUGAUGUUAUUUAUCCUUGAAGCUCCACAGUGGAC